rnacentral:rRNA from 1 species
CAUGAAGUUGGAAUCGCUAGUAAUCGCGGAUCAGCAUGCCGCGGUGAAUACGUUCCCGGGCCUUGUACACACCGCCCGUCACACCAUGAGAGUCGGGGACACCCGAAGUCCGUAGCCUAACCGCAAGGGGGCGCGGCCGAAGGUGGAUUCGAUAAUUGGGGUGAAGUCGUAACAAGGUAUC